rnacentral:lncRNA from 1 species
ACCAUAUGGAAAUUACUGGAGGCAGUUAAGGAAGAUUUGCACCUUGGAGCUCUUGAGCACGAAACGAGUCAAUUCGUUCCGGCCAAUAAGAGAAGAGGAGUUCACCAAUCUUGUUAAGAGGAUUAUGUCAUCAAAAGAAGGAUCAGUUAAUCUCACUGAAGAAGUGCUUUCAUCCAUAUAUGGAAUCGUUUCGCAGUCUGCGUUUGGAGGCACAAAACGUGGGGACCAAGAGAAGUUCAUAUGCCUUGUGCAACAAGCAACAGCUGUUGCAGGUGGUUUUGAUGCAGGAGAUCUGUUUCCUUCUUGGGAGUGGCUUCAACUUGUGAGUGGGUUGAGGCCUAAGCUUGAGAGUUUCCAAAGACAAAUUGAUGAGAUAUUGGAAAACAUUGUUAGUGAUCACAAAGAGGCAAAGUUGGAAGGUAAAAAGAGCAAAAGUGAUGAAUCACAUGAAGAUCUUGUGGAUGUUCUCCUUCAAUUUGAAGAUGGUACCAAUCAAGAUAUUUGCUUAAGUAGAAACAAUAUCAAGGCUAUACUCUUGGUAAGGAUAAUCUUGCUCUUGCUUACUCUUUAGUUUAAAGCUUCUUAAUAUGACCUUAGUAUUUAAGAUUGCUUGCUUUGCCUAACAUCAAGUAAUUAAUCACUACUGUUUAGGAUAUCUUUGGUGGAGGAAGCGAGACGUCGGCCCAUACUAUAGAUUGGGCAAUGUCAGAGAUGAUAAGGGAUCCAAGAGUGAUGGAGAAAGCACAAGCUGAGGUCAGAGAGUUAUUCAACAGAAUAGGAAAGGUUGAUGAGACUCUGAUCAAUGAACUCAAGUACUUGAAAUCAGUUGUGAAAGAGACACUAAGGUUACACCCUCCAGCUCCUCUUUUACUUCCAAGAGAAUGUGGAGAAGCCUGUGAGAUCAAUGGAUAUCACAUUCCAUACAAAACUAAGGUCAUAGUGAAUGCUUGGGCAAUUGGAAGAGAUCCAAACUAUUGGAGUGACCCAGAGAAGUUUUAUCCAGAGAGGUUCAUUGAUAGUUCCAUAGACUACAAAGGGAAUAAUUUCGAGUUCAUUCCGUUUGGUGCUGGAAGAAGAACAUGUCCGGGCAGCACAUUAGGCUUGUUAAAUGUUGAGCUGGGGCUGGCAUAUUUGUUGUAUCACUUUGAUUGGAAGCUUCCAAGUGGAAUUAAAGGUCAGGAUCUGGAUAUGUCUGAGGUAUUUGGAGUUACUGUUAGAAGAAAAAAAGAUCUGCAAUUGGUUCCCAUUGUUUUUAGUCCUUUGCUUGAAACAUAAACAUAGGUAGAUGCUAUGUCUUUGAUUAAGAAAUGCUAUGCUGUGUAUGCGUUAAGAUUCAUGGUCAUUUACUUAUGAAAUAAAGCUGCAUGAUUUUGUGAUCAUUGUUAUUGAUUACAAAAGAGUUGGAGAUUUUGUAAUGCAGCUAAAAAUCAAUUGCAAUUAUAAGUAUUAAUAGUUAACAGAUUCUUUCUAGCUGAAUAUUAAUUGAUUAGUUAAUUUUCAUUGAUUAUUGUAAGAAAAAAAAAAAAAGAAGAAGAUCGUCCACACAUAAUUUGAAUGAUAGUUGCAUGCUUCUUGUAGUUAUAAGCUAUGAUGCAUAGACAAUGAUACGGAUACUGGGCACAUGAUACGAUACGAGAUUCGUCGACACACGAAUUUUAAAAUCUUAUAAGACACGGGGACACAUAUAAAAGAGUAAUUCUUCACAUCCAAGCAAUUUUACAUCUAAAUGAUUUGAGUUACGCUUUUCUUUUUCCCGUUUUCUUCCUCCCUUGUGCUUCUUAUUCUUCUUGUUCUUGUUCUUCUCCUCCUCCUACUUUUUUAUUAUUUUUCAAUUUUGUUACCGUCGUCACCAACAACACUUCUUCCUCUUCCUCUUCCUCUUCCUCCUCCUCCCCCUCCUCUUGGAAUUUCGUCUCCUCCUUCCUUUUCAUCCUUCUCCUCCACCACCAUCAUCAUCAUCAUAAUCAUCAUUGUUAUCGUUAUUGUCUUCUUCUAAUAUGUAUUGUCGUUAAUUUUCGGUUCAUUUGUGAUGCAAGUAUUUCUGAAUUCGAAUUUAUAUAAUGGACUAUUUUCGAUUCAUUUGGUAUUAUACAAUGAUUUUGUUUUGAUAAUAUUUUCAGUUCAUUCGAUUACCACAAAGAAUCAGAAUCAAUAAAGAUAUUAGUAAAAUGUUGGUGUCGUUGGUGAUGACGAUAAUGAUGGAAGAGUAAGAAGAAAAGGAAGGAGGAGAUCAAAGAAAUUCAAAUAAAAAAGAAACAGGAGGAGGAGAUAGAUGUGGUGGUAUGGUGGUGGUAACCAUGACGAUAAUGAAAAAAAGAUGAAGAAAGAGGAGGAGGAGGAGGAGGAGAUAAGUCGUAAUGAUAUGUCAUUUAGACACAGCAGGCACGCAUGUCGAACGAAUGCCAAUGAAUAUCGUGUUCAAAAUGUGUACGACACGGCAACUCAGCGAAGUAUCCGUACUUCAAAGAUUAUAAGUAGUUAUAAAUAGAACACCAAUACUAUGUAUGUGUCUAUUAAGAUUGACUAAAAUUUUCUUUUUAAUAUUCCAAGUUAAUCUUGAUUAAUAUUGUGUUAAAAUUGUUAUGCAAAAGAAGAAAAAAGCGGCUAGGACUCUUCAAAAUUCAUAAACUUGAAGAUUCUUUAAAAGGUUCCACUCAAGGAAACGAUAGAAGCAGACAAAGAUACAAUAAUUUCAACUUGUAGACAAAAAUAUAACAGAUAAAGAUAAGUAUAACAACUCACAAGACAGUGAGACUCCAAGCAAUUAUAACUCUAUCUUCUUCUCUACUUUACCAGCACUUUAAUCCAUCUUAAGUUUCUGUUUGAUCUUCAUGGAUUCUCAAAUCUUUAACUUCCUUGCUUUCAUCUUCUUUCUCUUCUUCAUCCUUGCUGCUCUGAGAAUAAGAAAGAAAAGUGAUGUAAUUCCAAAUAUACCCCCAGGACCACAGAAGCUACCUAUCAUAGGAAACAUACCAAAUCUUAUUGCAUCAACUCCACAUAGAAAGCUAAGAGAUUUGGCCAACAAAUAUGGACCAUUGAUGCACCUUCAACUUGGACAAGUCUCUACCAUUGUUGUUUCCUCAGCAGAAUAUGCUAAAGAGGUUAUGAACACACAUGACAUCAUCUUUGCUUCAAGGCCUCCAGUUCUAGCAGCAAAGAUAAUUUCUUAUGAUUGCACAAACAUUGGUUUUGCACCCUAUGGAAAUUACUGGAGGCAGUUAAGGAAGAUUUGCACCUUGGAGCUCUUGAGCACGAAACGAGUCAAUUCGUUCCGGCCAAUAAGAGAAGAGGAGUUCACCAAUCUUGUUAGGAGGAUUAUGUCAUCAAAAGAAGGAUCAGUUAACCUCACUGAAGAAGUGAUUUCGUCGAUAUGUGGAAUCAUUUCGCGGUCUGCGUUCGGAGGCACAAAACGUGGAGACCAAGAGAAGUUCAUAUCGCUUGUGCUACAAGCAACAGAUAUUGCAGGGGGUUUUGAUGUAGGAGAUCUGUUUCCUUCUUGGGAAUGGCUUCAACUUGUGAGUGGAUUGAGGCCUAAGCUUGAGAGUUUCCAAAGACAAAUUGAUGAGAUAUUGGAAAACAUUGUUAGUGAUCACAAAGAGGCAAAGUUGGAAGGUAAAGGCAAAAAUGAUGAAGAUCUUGUGGAUGUUCUCCUUCAAUUUGAAGAUGG